rfam:Myotis davidii contig121014, whole genome shotgun sequence.
GGCGGUUCUCAGGUGACUCACCCUGGAAUCGAGCCCCCUCCUCUCUGGUUCUGGGUGCAUCACCUGAGAACUGCA